rnacentral:snRNA from 14 species
AGCUUUGCGCAGUGGCAGUAUCCUAGCCAAUGAGGUUUAUCCGAGGCACGAUUAUUGCUAAUUGAAAACUUUCUUAUACUUUAAGGUUUGAUACAUUUUUAAAAAUACAGCUAUAGUACCCAACUAAUUAGCUUUAACUAUUAGUGAGUGGUGGGCAUUUUAUAAUAGAUUAAAAUCU